rnacentral:lncRNA from 10 species
GGGGACGGAAUGUCCCCCAUCCUGCCUCUGGCUCUGGCCCACCGGCCAGGAGGGGUUGAGGGUGGGGAGUGUUAGGAGCAGCCCUGGGCACAGCUCCCUCGGCCGGGGCUGCUGAGUUCACACUCACUGCUCACUCAUCCCUCCACUCACCUGCCUAUCCACACCCUCGCGCCUGCUCGGCCGCUCUCCUCUCUGGGGAGCCCCUCUGCAGCCACUCUGGGGUUGUAAAGAGACUCCAGGCCAGCUCCCUUUCAGCAACAGUGUGAUUCUCAGAGACCACUUCACUCCUGGCAGGGCUGGGGGAAAUGGAAGUCCUUAGCUCUGAAGUAUACGAUUGCAGCCAGUCCCUGAGGACAGCAUCUGCCACCCCCACCAUGACCACUGGCAAAUGAUGAGCACGGGGAGGGAGUGGCCAAAGAAACAGGCCCUGAGCCACCUCAAGGCUACUUCACAGAGCCCCAUCCUCACGGAACCACCCACUGCCUUCCACCACGCUCUGUCCAGCCCCCAGCAUGUAGCAGGUCAGCUCCAUCAGAGAACGAGGCUGGCUCAUGGGGUUCAGUUGAGAGGCCUGGGACCUUAAAGCCACUUGGAGACAGGCUUGACCUGGAAGCGGCUGGUCUCUCGAGGAAUGCAGGGCUGUGGGCUGUGCUGGGGGCACCUAGGACAGGCUGGGCACUGAGAGGGCCUCAAGACACCUUUGUCCACCCGACCGGCAGAAGGGAACUAGACUUGCUCUUGGCAGAAUGGGCAGGGGCUGUCCACGACACUACCGCGUGCUGUGCUCACUUCCCAGCAUCAGCCCACUCUGACCAUCAGUUUCUGCAUCUAAGACUUGGGUUAACACGGAUCUCAGGACCCAGCCCACCCCAGAAUGGCAGGCCUUGCUGCUGAGACGGAAACGCUGCAUUCAGCACAACUUAAAAAACGUCUGCCAUAAUGCUACCCAUGUGGCUUCCAGUGGCUGCUCUAUCUCCAUCCCUGGCCUGCGCUCCAGCUCCCCAGGUGCCCACACAUGACACGCUUGUCCCUGUGCUUCUGUCUAGGAGGUGGGGGAUGUCCCGACUGGCACCUGGCACCUGCCUGGGCAAGUUCGGUUUGAGUGGCUCAAGUUGGCCCUCGAAGGCACCAUAAGGAGGUCCCCAUGGCACGCUUUCUCAUAGGUGGGAGCUAACAUUGCCCCCAGACCUUCGUGUCUCCACUCUGGGUCCCUUGUCCAGCCCUGGGACUGCCCCAGACUGGCCCGUGAGUUCGGCAGCAUUGCUGGUGGGGCGCUAGGAGCCAUCCAGGCCCCUAGAGAGGGAGAGGCCCUUACCGGUCAUUUGUCCAACAUCUCCAUUCACAGCCAAGGAAACCAAGGCCUGAAGAAGACAAGGAACCUGCCCAAGGCCACACGGCGGAGAUGGCUCCAGGCAGAGCCCCCUGGCCCAGUACGUGCCCGUCCCCGGCUGUCCCAGACAGGGGCGUGUGGGCCUCCUCCAAGGGCAGGGGUGCAGCGUUACGGGCAGCAUCUGGGGACGGAUCGCCCUCCCCCACUUCAGAGGAUCCCAAGUCAUGAACUUGGUGGACUUCUAAGAAAUAGGGUGGCAGUGGGGGGACUUCGCAGAAAGGAAUGCUUUCAGAAUUAGUCCUUCAGACAAAGGUCCCCCGGGAGCAGGUCAAGCACGCUUUACUUACGCAAGUUCAAGUUGCACACCCUUUUAAGGACACCUUUAUUAUGUAAAGCAAGGUGUGGCCUAACCACGGGCCUUCUGGUGGAGCCAAUGAGUGGGCCUGCCCCUCCCCCAAUCUGGUCUGCCUCCUGAAGCUGUUUUGGGACUCUGCGAACGGUAUAGAAUAAACUAAAAGGAACUGCACAUGGCAGUGGGGUUUCUGUGCUGGCAUCGCAGCACAUGGCAUUCCUGCCAGUGGACGCGAAAACGUGAAUUGAAAAAGGGGCAGGGGCUGAAAGGCCCCAGAGGCUCGAG